GACGAACGCUGGCGGCGUGCUUAACACAUGCAAGUCGAACGGAAAGGCCCUGCUUUUGUGGUGUGCUCGAGUGGCGAACGGGUGAGUAACACGUGAGUAACCUGCCCUUGACUUUGGGAUAACUUCAGGAAACUGGGGCUAAUACCGGAUAGGAGCUCCUGCUGCAUGGUGGGGGUUGGAACGUUUCGGCGGUUGGGGAUGGACUCGCGGCUUAUCAGCUUGUUGGUGGGGUAGUGGCUUACCAAGGCUUUGACCGGUAGCCGGCCUGAGAGGGUGGCCGGGCACAUUGGGACUGAGAUACGGACCAGACUGCUACGGGAGGCAGCAGGGGGGAGUAUUGCACAAUGGGCGGAAGCCUGAUGCAGCAACGCCGCGUGCGGGAUGACGUCCUGCGGGUUGUAAACCGCUGUCGCCUGUGACGAAGCGUGAGUGACGGUAAUGGGUAAAGAAGCACCGGCUAACUACGUG
rnacentral:rRNA from 1 species